UAAAGGUUUAAUGAUUUCUAUGUUAAACAAAAUGUAAGUUUGUUUUUUGUAACACAAUAUUCAGGAUGUAGAAAAGAAUGCUUUAUUAAAACAUCCGUAUCCAAUAUUAUCAUUUCUACACAAUGGUAAACAAUUAUUUUUAAAGAAUUUAAAUGAUAACUCAAAUAACAUCACACAUACACAAAAAACCCGGCAAUAAUACACUACACAUUAUAUCGGUAGUAAACACAAUUGCAACACACACUAAUAUCAUCAAGUUAGAUAUAAAUUGCUUUGAUGAUCUCUCUGCAUGUCCUGGUAUAAUGUUUUAAAAGUUUAAUACUGGAACAGGAAUGAAUGGUUACUACAACAAAUAUACUAAGCCUAGUUUCAGUGCAAGACAAUUUCAUUGCUAAGAUAAUGUGGUAGAGUUUUACACAGAGUCGAUAUAUUAUAAAUUUCAUUGGGGGAAAUCGAUACAAGGGAAGGACGCUUAUCCAAUAAAAAACUAAGAAUAUAAAGUAUGAUAGCCAAAAGAAACAACUCUCUAGACCAAGUGAAGAAGAGGUUAAGAACUAUAGGUUUCCGUACGUCCUUCAAUGAUGAGCAAAACCAUACCGCAUAGUCAGCUGUAUACGGCCCCGAAAUGACACGUAUAAAAUAAUUCAAAAUGUAAACCCCACCCAGACCCUCGUGAUACAUUAUGCAGUUUGAAUUAUCUCCUCCAGUAUACUAGAAAUGAAUCAGAAAUAAAGAAAAAUAAAAUAAAGUCAUAGAUAUGUUCGAUACGUAUAUGCUGUUCAUUGCCAAAGGCCCUGCAGUGACCUGCAUUUGUUUUAAUUCUUGUGCUUUGAUCUUUGAUGGGUCGUUGUCUCAUUGGCAAUCGGACAAAACCUCCACAUUGAUAUAUUACUCUCCCAUAACAAAUGCAUUAUACAGUUUUUUUCAAAGUAUUUUAAUGAACCAUAGUUCACCACUACAGCUUUAUUGUACAAAAUCAAAGGAUCAAAAGUUUAUUUUAUGAUUUAUAAAUCAAUAAGUAUGCUUUGAAUAAAAUGAAGAAAAAAAAACGAAAUGGAAAUAGAAAUUAAAAAAUUUCCAGUUCAGGAAUUGAAAAUAUUUUGUGUUUUGUACACUAAAAUCCAUCUUCCCCACAAUUCGUUCUGAACGGUGAGAUUAAAACAAACCCUAUAACAAUCUUAUUUUAGUUUGCAUCUAUUUAUUUUAUUUUAUGCACGAAUUAAACAUGCGUUUCAAUAAAAUUAAUGCAUUAUCGCGAAACUCGAUGUCCAUAAAAGCGUAAAUCAGAGGGUUUACUAUACUAUUGAUAAUGAAGAUAUGAUAUAGGAACGUCACAGCAGGUCUUAGCGAGGAGGACAGAUUUUCCCAAAACCCAUCGUAGAUUCCUUCAAGACACAGAAUUGUAACCUUUGGUAUAUAACAAAGUACAAAUACUGUCGUGAUGAUACAAAACAUAAUUGUGACUUUGCGAGUUAUUUCAUUUCGUGUUCUUCGUUUUCCAGAUAGAGCUGAUUCCACAGUAUUUGCUACAGCGCUUUUACUGACGUGCUGUCCGACAGAAUCUGGCGUAGUUUCCGGAAUCAUUGCCUGUUUAGCUGCUUUUGCUGAUGUGAUGCUCACCUCUGUUUCUUUACAACUGCUAUCAGGACGACUUUCGUUUUCAUCUGUCUUUUCGAUUUCUUUCUUAGAACCAGUGGUGUCACUUUUGUGUUCCUUUAAGUUACGAAACACAGUUUUUAGAAUUUUGCUGUAAAUGAUGAUAAGUGUUGUUACUAAGGCGAAAACGUACAUACCAAAUCCAAUCGAAUAUAAAAUCAUGAAAACACCAUUUCCCUCUUUCAAUCUUCCACACCUCAUUCCUGAGAUACCAUACUCAGUGCUUUGGUAUUUAAUAGUGCCGUAUAUAAAUGGUAACGGUAAAGCGAACAGAAUGGAUAAGAGAAUGGCCAGAAACAAUGCAGUUUUUCUCAUCGAAAUCGACAUGGAUGGUUUUUGAAGCAUACAAAGUUUCAUAUAUCUCUGAAUUGCAAUAAUAAAUAAUAUGAAAACUGAGUAAUAAGUAGUAUUUGCAACAAAAAACACAAGUGUCUUGCACAGAAUGUUGUUUGAAAAUGUCGUCUGAUAAAAACACUGAACUAUAUAAUGAACUCCAAGAUAUAAUGUUGCUAUCAUGUCAAAGAAAGCUAAAAUUGGUAUAAAAUAUCUUUCAUCUGAUGCCUUCUUCAUCUGAAAUACAUAAACCAUCAACACAAAGGCGUUUCCACAGGUACCAAGAGCAAUAUAAACGGAAAGCAUGAUAAUGUUUGGCAAUAGGCUGUUUGUAAUUUCCACGUUCCAUUCUGAUAAAGUUAUAUUGUUGAAAUUAGUGUUAAUAUUCAUUUUGCCUUGAAAUCAAAUCACUUUGAAAAAUAUAAUGUCCUACAAUCUACUAACGAUUUUCGUAUUUCUAUGAAACUAAGGGUUUAAGUUUGUAAUACAAUAUCCAGG
rnacentral:lncRNA from 1 species